GAAUGUCUAAGAUGGCUGGACUCCAAGAAAGCCAACUCAGUUCUCUAUAUAUGUUUUGGGAGCUUAUUCAACUUUUCAGCUCCUCAAUUACUUGAGAUUGCUAUGGCUCUUGAAGCUUCUGGACUNNNNAUUUGGGUUGUGCGAACUGAAGAAAAAAGAGAGAAUGAAGUGACAAAAGAAUGGCUCGCAGAAGGAUUUGAGAAGAGGAUGGAGGGGAAAGGUUUGAUCAUAAGGG
rnacentral:misc_RNA from 1 species